rnacentral:rRNA from 1 species
AUACGUAGGGGGCGAGCGUUGUCCGGAAUGAUUGGGCGUAAAGGGCGCGUAGGCGGCCCGGUAAGUCUGGAGUGAAAGUCCUGUUUUUGAGAUGGGAAUUGCUUUGGAUACUGUCGGGCUUGAGUGCAGGAGAGGUAAGUGGAAUUCCCAGUGUAGCGGGGAAAUGCGUAGAGAUUGGGAGGAACACCAGUGGCGAAGGCGACUUACUGGACUGUAACUGACGCUGAGGCGCGAAAGUGUGGGGAGCAAACAGGAUUAGAUACCCUGGUAGUCCACACUGUAAACGAUGAAUGCUAGGUGUAGGGGGUAUCGACCCCUUCUGUGCCGCAGUCAACACAAUAAGCAUUCCGCCUGGGGAGUACGGCCGCAAGGUUGAAACUCAAAUGAAUUGACGGGG